GGUGAGAUGGCCGAGUUUGGUUAUGGCGCCAGGUUAAGGUAAACUGUGGAGCAAUCCUCCUGGGUUCGAAUCCCAGUCUCAUCA
rnacentral:tRNA from 1 species